UGAGAUAGGUAUAGCUUCAUAAUACAAAAAGCAAAAGCUAUGAAAAAGCAGAGGACAGCGUUUCCCUUUAACUUAACUGAUGGAAAAUACAAAAGCAGGACUGAAUGCCAACUUUGCCUCCAAAUUCCUUUACACACAGAUCUUGAGAAUAUGCGUCAGGUACAUAAUAAUGGGAUCCUGAAGGGCUUAUUACAAAUCUCACUACACUUGAGAAGAGAAUAUUUUGUCUUUUUUCUCAUUCUCCAUGGUCUCUCCAUUCCCACCAGGUUGCUGCUCACUGUGAUGUACGUCAGGGUGCACGCCAGACAGCACAGGACACUGCAGCAGAGCUUGUCAGCUCCAACUGCUCAUUCGUUUGGAAAACCUGUCCAGUGGCACACUGCAAGUUAGAGCAACCUGCUACACAACAGAUUAAAGAGGUGACCACUGCAACAGUUACAGAACAGACUAUUGGGGGUGAAUACAUUUUUAAGCCUGACAGAAGCCUUCUGUGAAUUUUAAGAGUCUAGUCUGAUAACAUUUAACAUAAGUAAGCAUAAGUAGAACAGUGCAUGUGUAAGAAAUUGCAGAGUAAUCAUGUCUGUGAGAUAACAAAAAUAUAAAGUAACUAAAGCUAGAAAAAAGAUUCAUUUGAACCAACACUAAACCUGUACUGACAGGGGAGGAGAGUUAACAUGGAAAUGAAAGACUAAUAUGUAUGCAUAAGAAAAGAUAACAAAACGUUAUACGUAAGUGUGUGUAAUACAGGAAGGUUGAACCUGUACUGGUCGGUGCUGGAGGCGACUGUGAUGAGAUUGUCCCGAUGAGCUUCCCCCUUGUAAGUAACUGAUCAGCAUGUGCCGAGUGUUUUGCCUUAAUAAAGAUUUGUUAUACCCA